GGGGGCGACAGGCUUCGACGGGGAUCGCGAGGUUGAAAGUUGCAUGCCGAGGUGCCGUGGGGCUCGUUAAACACGCGGCAAAACACAACUGCCAAUAACGAACUGGCAAUCGCUGCUUAACUAAGUAGCGCGUCUCCCGGCUGCCGCCUGAGCGGCUGAAGAGAUGUCAAAAUUCGGGCUGGUCUUUCCGCUAUGUCCGGGGCGGAAGGAUGAGAAAAACCGGGCUGGCUGAUCCCGGAGCUUUCCCUGAGGCGCCGGAGGAUGCGAGAGCUGUAAACGAGGGGAUAAGCAUGUAUGAGCUUUCAGCUGAUGGUUUUCGGACGCGGGUUCAAUUCCCGCCGCCUCCACCA
rnacentral:tmRNA from 1 species